UAGAUGCGAGAGUAGAGCAUAUCAAUAAGCGGAGGAAAAGAAACUAACAAGGAUUCCCUUAGUAACGGCGAGUGAAGCGGGAAGAGCUCAAAUUUGAAAUCUUCAAGGUUCUACCUUGACGAAUUGUAGUUUAUAGAAGUGUUUUCUGUUAGUAGAGUGGCAAAAGUUCUUUGGAAUAGGACAUCAUAGAGGGUGAGAAUCCCGUAUUUGGUCAUUCCUCCUAGCUUUGUGAUACACUUUCAACGAGUCGGAUUGUUUGGGAAUGCAGUCCAAAAUGGGUGGUAAAUUUCAUCUAAAGCUAAAUAUUGGCGAGAGACCGAUAGCGAACAAGUACCGUGAGGGAAAGAUGAAAAGAACUUUGAAAAGAGAGUUAAACAGUACGUGAAAUUGUCAAAAGGGAAGCGUUUGACACCAGUGUUGUUUUUCCGAAAAUCAAUUACGAAUGUUUUAUUUUUGAGAAGUUAUGACUUCAUCGGCUUGCUCCUUUCUUUACUGAAACUUUCUUAAUGCACUUUUCGGUUAACAAGUCAACAUCAAUUUCUUUUGUUGUAAAAGGGUAUGAGGAAGGUGGCUUUCUUUUCGGAGAAAGUGUUUAUAGCCUUGUACCUCUGCAAUCGGAGAGAUUGAGGUCUGCAGCGUAGAUCCUUCGGGGUUAGAUACGUUUGUGCUAGGUUAUAGCUUUUCAUAGACAACUUGUUGACUAUGUUAAGUCUUGUAGCUUACUCGCUGACGCUAUUUUACCUACGCUUAGGAUGUUGACGCGCGUGUGUGCGU
rnacentral:rRNA from 1 species